rnacentral:rRNA from 1 species
AAGCGGAGGAAAAGAAACUAACUAGGAUUCCCUUAGUAACGGCGAGUGAACCGGGAAAAGCUCAAAUUUGUAAUCUGGCUGUCUUCGAUAGUCCGAGUUGUAAUCUAUAGACGUGUUUUCCGUGCUGGACCGUAUCUAAGUCCCUUGGAACAGGGUAUCAAAGAGGGUGACAAUCCCGUGCUUGAUACGACCACCAGUGCUCUGUGAUACACGCUCUACGAGUCGAGUUGUUUGGGAAUGCAGCUCAAAAUGGGUGGUAAAUUCCAUCUAAAGCUAAAUAUUGGCGAGAGACCGAUAGCGAACAAGUACCGUGAGGGAAAGAUGAAAAGCACUUUGGAAAGAGAGUUAAACAGUACGUGAAAUUGUUGAAAGGGAAACGAUUGAAAUCAGUCGUGUUCUUUGGAUUCAGCUAGUUCUUCUAGUCUACUUCCAUUGAACGGGUCAACAUCAGUUUUGUCCGGUGGAUAAAGAUAGUAGGAAUGUAGCUCCCCCGGGAGUGUUAUAGACUAUUAUUGCAUACACUGGGUGAGACUGAGGACUGCAGCUCGCCUUUUGGCCGGUCUUCGGACACGUUCGAGCUUAGGAUGUUGACAUAAUGGCUUUAAACGACCCGUCUUG